CGGCUCCUGCCCGGUCUUGCGCCUGCGCGAUGUUGGGGCGGAGCGGGAGUCGGGGGCGGGAUGGCUGUGGAGCGCAGCGCAACGCCCCAGGCUGGGGAUGCGCGUCAGCAGUGCGUGCGGGACGCCGCAGUUACAGGGGGCGACGCAGGAGGGAACCCAAGGCCACGAGCUCCAUCUCGUCCUACCCUUCCCUAUCCAGAAGACGCUCUAAUCUACGGAGGGAGGAGAACCGGCACGGAGGCAGGGGCUGGACGUAGUGAUCUCUUCCCCAUCCCACCUCCACCUAUCCCACCAUCUGUAUCAAGCCUCCGACAUCCAAGGACAUUUCCAUAUCCCUCCAGACAUUUUGAUAUACCAGCCUAGAGACCAAAUGUACCCAGAAUCCCCCCCUUUUUAUCGGUGGAUUUCAGCCCUCAAAGGGGUUCGUUCCCUGAGCCUCUGAUGGCCCAAAUCCAUCACACAUGAGUUGGAAUGCCAGGGAUCAUUCCCGGCCAAACGUUUAGCUUACCGGAGAAAGAGAGAAGAGGAGGGACUGUCUAAGGUGCCUUGGCACCAUGCCUGCACAGCUGGAUCUCUGGACACAGAGCCCUACGCGGUUUCCACCCAGACACUCCCACUCCAUCAAGUGGGGGUAAGAAGGAUCAAUGAGAUGAUGGAAGUGAAAGUGCUUUGCAAACUGUAAAGCUCUGGAGAAAGUCCAAUGAAUAUCCCAACAGGAUUUUUCAGAGAGCUAGGCAAACUAAUUCUAAACUUCAUAGAGAAGACAAAGACCCAAGAAAAAAGUAGACCAUUCUGAAAAAGAAUAAGGAAAGAGACCUGGCCCUCACAAAUACCAAGACUUUUUCGAAAGCGAUAAUUAAAACAAUGUGGUAUUGGUGCCCGGCUAGACAAAGGGAUCAAUAGAACAGAGUGCCCAGAAACAGAUCCAAGCAUUUGUGGGAAUGUGAUUUAUCAUGGUGGCAGCACUGCAACUCGGUGAGAGAGAACAGACUAUUCAAUAAAAUGUGACAAUUGCCUUUUCCUAUGAAAAAUCUUCGCACCAUCCAUAAAUAUGAAUUCCAGAUGGAUUCAAGACCUAACAGUGAAAAACAAAACUUUAAAAUAAUUAGGAGAAAAUGAAAAAAAAAUUAGGAGAAAAUGUAGGAGACCUAAGGGUAGGAAAGUAUUUCUUAAACGAGAGACACACUCAAAAAAGAUCGAAUGAUUUUUAUUACAUUACCCCCCAAAAGCCCUCCACCAUGAAAACGACAUUACAAACAAAGCUAAGAGACAAGGAGCAGCCUGGGUGGCAGUGGUGACAGCAUGUACAACAGAUAAAGGGUUAGCAUUCAGAAUAUGAAGACCUCCUAGGAAUCUACAAAAUUAGCCGGCCGUGGUGGCACAUGCCUAUAAUCCCAGCUAAUUGGGAGGCUGAGGCAGGAGAAUCGCUUGAACCUGGGAGGCAGAGGUUACAGUGAGCCGAGAUCGUGCCUUCCUACUCCAGCCUGGGCAACAAGAGCGAAACUCCAUCUCUUCCAUCUCAAAACAAAACAAAACAAAACAACCCUCCUAGGAAUCAAUAUGGAAAAGACAGAACUUUUAUUUUAUUUGUAUUUCUUCUUCUUUUUUCUUUUUUGAAACGGGAUCUCUCUCUGUUGCCCAGGCUGGACUGCAGUGGCACAACCCUGGCUCACUGCAACCUCUGCUCCUCCAGGCUCAAGUGAUCCUCCCACAUCAGCCUCCAAGUAGCUGUGACUACAGGCACACACCACCAUGCCGCCUAAUUUAUAUAUAUAUAUAUGUACACACACACACACACACAUACAUGUAUAUAUUGUAUAUAUUUUGGUAGGGAUGGGGUCUCAUCAUGUUGCCCAACCUGGUCUCAAACUCCUGGGCUCAAGCAAUCCACCCACCUUGGCCUCCCAAAAUGCCAAGAUUACAGGUGUGAGCCACCCUGCCUAGCCUAUUUUUUUUCUUUCAAUGCAUUCAUCAAGCAGUAAGGACAGACAUUUUUUUGUCCCACUCCAAAUAGCAUCCCUUCUCUUCUUCCUUGAUAAUCAGAACCCUGUUCUGAUUCACAGGUUUGGGCUUUUGGGGAGGCUUGACCUUCCUCAACCCCAUCAGAUGAACAGUGAUUGGUCUAAAUAUAGCAUGUUAAUUUAGUUCUUCUGAUCAAUGAUAGGCUUAGGUAUGGACGUUUAUGCAAUUCUGGAAGGUCUCGGUCGGGGGGGGGAAGGAGACUAAUAAGAGAGUAAUAAGGAGACUAAUAAGAAAACAUCCAGCCGGGUUCUGUGACUCACACCUGUAAUCCCAGCACUUCGGGAGGCAGAGCUGGGUGGAUCGCCUGAGGUCAGGAGUUUGAGACCAGCCUAGCCAACAUAGUGAAACCCCAACUCUACUAAAAAUACAAAAAAUUAGCUGGGCAUGGUGGCAGGUGCCUGUAAUCCCAGCUACUAGGGAGGCUGAGGCAUGAGAAUCACUUGAACCCAGGAGGCAGAGGUUGAGGUGAGCCAAGAUUGAGCCAUUGCACUCCAGCCUGGGCAACAAGAACGAAACUCUGCCUCAAAAAAAAAAAAAGAAAGAAAAGAAAAGAAAGAAAGCAUCCACUUAUCUACUUUCUUCUGUCUCUGGACGUUAUUAUUUGCACAAGACACCUGGAGUUGAGGCAGCCAUCUCGGGACCACAAGGAGGCCUGUCUAAGAGGCAGGCCAACACAGUGAGAGGGUGUUGCAAAAAGACGAAGAGAACCUGGUGUUUGAUGUCACAGCAGGGCCUCUGAAUUAACCACCCCCAGGACUUCUUGUUAUGUGAGCUAAUAAAUGUUCCUUUUUGCUUAAA